rnacentral:rRNA from 1 species
AGUGAACGCUGGCGGCGUGCCUAACACAUGCNAGUCGAACGAGAACGGAUUUUAGUUUACUAAAAUUGUCAGCUAAGUGGCGCACGGGUGAGUAAUAUAUAGUUAAUCUGCCUCAAAGAAGGGAAUAAUUGUUGGAAACGACUUGUAACUCCCUAUAUGCCUUUAUCACAUAAGUGAGCAAGGGAAACAUUUAUGGCUUUGAGAUGAGACUGUACAGUAUCAGCUAGUUGGUGAGGUAAUGGCUCACCAAGGCAAUGACGCUUAACUGGUUUGAGAGGAUGAUCAGUCACACUGGAACUGAGACACGGUCCAGACUCCUACGGGAGGCAGCAGUGGGGAAUAUUGCACAAUGGAGGAAACUCUGAUGCAGCAACGCCGCGUGGAGGAUGACACAUUUCGGUGCGUAAACUCCUUUUAUAUAAGAAGAUAAUGACGGUAUUAUAUGAAUAAGCACCGGCUAACUCCGUGCCAGCAGCCGCGGUAAUACGGGGGGUGCAAGCGUUACUCGGAAUCACUGGGCGUAAAGAGCGCAUGUAGGCUGGUUUGUAAGUUGGAAGUGAAAUCCUAUGGCUUAACCAUAGAACUGCUUCCAAAACUACUUACCUNGAGUAUGGGAGAGGUAGAUGGAAUUUCUGGUGUAGGGGNAAAAUCCGUAGAGAUCAGAAGGAAUACCGAUUGCGAAGGCGAUCUACUGGAACAUUACUGACGCUCAGAUGCGAAAGCGUGGGGAGCAAACAGGAUUAGAUNCCCUGGUAGUCCACGCCCUAAACGAUGCACACUAG